ACGGGAGGCAGCAGUAGGGAAUCUUCCGCAAUGGACGAAAGUCUGACGGAGCAACGCCGCGUGAGUGAUGAAGGCUUUCGGGUCGUAAAACUCUGUUGUUAGGGAAGAACAAGUGCUAGUUGAAUAAGCUGGCACCUUGACGGUACCUAACCAGAAAGCCACGGCUAACUACGUGCCAGCAGCCGCGGUAAUACGUAGGUGGCAAGCGUUAUCCGGAAUUAUUGGGCGUAAAGCGCGCGCAGGUGGUUUCUUAAGUCUGAUGUGAAAGCCCACGGCUCAACCGUGGAGGGUCAUUGGAAACUGGGAGACUUGAGUGCAGAAGAGGAAAGUGGAAUUCCAUGUGUAGCGGUGAAAUGCGUAGAGAUAUGGAGGAACACCAGUGGCGAAGGCGACUUUCUGGUCUGUAACUGACACUGAGGCGCGAAAGCGUGGGGAGCAAACAGGAUUAGAUACCCUGGUA
rnacentral:rRNA from 1 species